rnacentral:rRNA from 1 species
GACGAACGCUGGCGGCGUGCCUAAUACAUGCAAGUAGAACGCUGAAGGAGGAGCUUGCUUCUCUGGAUGAGUUGCGAACGGGUGAGUAACGCGUAGGUAACCUGCCUGGUAGCGGGGGAUAACUAUUGGAAACGAUAGCUAAUACCGCAUAAGAGUAGAUGUUGCAUGACAUUUGCUUAAAAGGUGCAAUUGCAUCACUACCAGAUGGACCUGCGUUGUAUUAGCUAGUUGGUGGGGUAACGGCUCACCAAGGCGGCGAUACAUAGCCGACCGGAGAGGGGGGUCGGCCACACUGGGACUGGAACACGGACCAGGCGCCUGCGAGAGGCAGCAGAAGGGAAUCGGCGGCAAUGGACGGGAGUCUGACCGAACAACGCCGCGUGAGAGAAGGAGGUUUUCGGAGCGUAAAGAUCUGUUUUAAGUGAAGAACGGGUGUGAGAGGGGAAAGUGCACGCGGUGACGGUAUCUGACCAGAAAGGGACGGCUAACUACGUG